GGUGGCUCAGUGGUAGAGUGUUUGCCUUGCAUGCAUCAGGCUCUGGGUUCAAUUCCUCAGCACCA
rfam:Dipodomys ordii contig_22176, whole genome shotgun sequence.